GCCGAUUAUCUUUCCUCAUUUUUCAAGAAAGCGUCUACGGCGACGGUGAUUCUAUGGUCUGCUAUUUGCAAUAAAAUAUCCAUCAAAAUGUUUGUAAUCCUUUGGAUACCAAUAUAUUAUGAGUUCAAUGCAACAAGUUUCAAACUGAUCCCAUAAUAUAAAAAUUCAAGCUUGCCAAACGGUGUUUAUUGAAUUAAACAUUGUUAAAUAGAUUUCAAACCUUCUAAAAUAAUUUUUAGCCGAAAGCUUCGUUAAACAAUUUUCGUUCAUUAAUGAAGCUAUGAACUGAUUUUGCUACUGUAUCUAAUAAAAAUAUUGCAUACAUACAAGUAUAUAUGUAUAUGUAUGCCUAUCAAUUACUGUGCCGACAGACAGAUCUCUCUAAAAAUAUAAAGCAUUCUUGUGUAGAAAUUAUUGUUAGCCGUCAGCUUGCUUAUGCGAUUUCUUAUCACUAAAAACUACUCCAGAACAGCAUCUGUGCAAAAAUCCCCGUUUAAUUAGCAAGCGCGCUCGUAAGCGUCGAUCCCUUUUAUGGUAAAAUAUAUAAAAGCAAUGAAUUGACUGGAGGUCAAUCAUUCAACUCUCCGUACUCGUUGUCUUCGCUUCAUUCACGAUGAAUACAAAACUCGCGGUUAUCUUUGCUGUCUUUUUGCUCAUUGCGGCUGUGGGAUUCACACAGGCCGAUUGGUUGGACGAUCUGAACGAAGGAACGAAUCAAGUAGUGAAUGCGGUGAACGAAAAUGCGGGGAAGAUCAAUAAAAUUGCUACAAGUAUUGAUGCACUUGGAAAGAUACUAAAAACUUUGGAUCCAGAUUCGAAUGAAGAGGAAUAAUUUUUUAUUCAGUAUUUUUUUUUAACUAAAGUUAUUAAUUGGCUGUGUA